rnacentral:rRNA from 1 species
UACGUAGGGAGCGAGCGUUGUCCGGAAUUACUGGGUGUAAAGGGUGCGUAGGCGGCCUUGCAAGUCAGGCGUGAAAACCAUGGGCUCAACCCGUGGACUGCGUUUGAAACUGUGAGGCUUGAGUGAAGUAGAGGUAGGCGGAAUUCCCGGUGUAGCGGUGAAAUGCGUAGAGAUCGGGAGGAACACCAGUGGCGAAGGCGGCCUACUGGGCUUUAACUGACGCUGAGGCACGAAAGCAUGGGUAGCAAACAGG